ensembl:lncRNA
GUUGUUAGCUGAUAUCCAUGGCAGCUGCAGUGGCAGCGGCAGGGGCCGUGUGUGUGAGUGUGUGCACUAGUUGUACUGGACUGGCAGGAGGGGAGGGGGCAGGGGGGCGGGAGCAGGCUGGAGGGGGAGCAGGGCCGCGCGCGCGCGCGCCGGGUGGGGAGCCGCUCCGCCGCCGUCUCUCUCGCUGGCUCGCUCCCUCCCUCCCUCCGCAGCUUGACCCGGUAGUGAAGGCGGGGAGAGAGGCAGGCUGGGUCCGCCUGGCGGCCUCCGCGAGGAGGCGGGAGCGGAGAGGAGGGCCCCGAGGCCCGCGCGGGGAGGCCGCAGGGAGGGCGGCGGGGCUGCGCGCCCAGGACCCCCGCCUCCCCCGGUGCGGCCCGGGCUGCGGCGACGCGUCGUGGCCUGGACGAGGGGCGCCGGGGCCAGCGCUGCGGCUGUCGGUCCGGGGGUCCUCCUGCGAGGUCCUCCUGCGGGGUCCUGCGGGAUGCAGGGGCCGAGCUGGCGGCGGGCGCGGGACUGCGGGGCGGGCCUGGGCGCAGGAGUUCCCAACUGCGACAGGCUCUGCCUCCCCGUGUGGACGGACCCGACGCCGAGUUUGCAGAACGCCCCUCCGAGGAGCGGGAAGUUGCGGAGAGCCGGGGACCGCGCGGCGCGGGGCGGGCAGCCGGCAGCAUCCCCCGGGCGGGGCUGUCUGGAGAAAGGCGACGCCGGGGAGCGAGGGCAAGGGGCUUCGCUUUUCCGUGUGAGGGGAAACGGAAAGAAAGGGGCUGCGGGUCGGGGUGGGGCAGCAGGGAGCAGCCCCCUCGGAGCAGAGGACCCUUUAACCCGGGACCUGCGGUGGAGACGGCAGGGGCACACCCUCGGCCAGCAAAGCCCGCAGACUCGGGGUUGUAACCUGGGAAGAAGCCUUAGGAUGACCCUGCCGGCCAAGGUCCUGUGACAGAGAAGGCAAAGACGGCUCCGAGGGUGAGCACAGAGGCAGCACCGGAGCUGGAACUCAGCUCGCUGCCCGCAGCCGGCGCCUCUCCCUUCACCGAGUUUGCAGUCGCGAGGAGAGGAGCACAGUCUACGGGGACUGUUGAUGAGCCAAGAAGUGUCGUUGGCGGAGAUGUAGAAAGGAGAGAACAGAGAGAAUCCAAGGAUCUUAAUGGAAGAAUUACAGCAAGAUGAGGAGCAAACUCGAAAGUCAGCGUAGAGAUGGACAAGGCUGAAGCAUUCAGUGAAGAGAUUUCACGCUCCUUUUCUCCGUGUUGCUGAUCUCAAUAAGAGGAAAGAAAGGCUUAAGAUGGAAGAUAUCGUGGGAGAAAAUCCCAGAAACUGGAGAACUUGUUCAAAUUCGAGUUGAAGAUCCAGAUGGAAAAAUUUUGCCACAUUCCUUCAGACUUCUUCAGGAUGUGCCAGAUGUGCACCAUCAUUCAGCAAUCAAAUGCUUAAAUUAUGCACUGUAGACCAUCAGCAAAUAAUUUUAUUUAGAGUAAAUCAUUAAUUCUGUGGUGGCAGCAGCAAUGCUAAAGAAAGACAUUGGCGGUCCUCAGAGGCUGGCCACAGGAAGGAGACUUUGGCAGAGAGGGGAUAGGAUGAGCUGAGACCGGAGUGAAAUGCUACAGCCGAAAUUGUGGCGUGUGCUUAUGGUAAAGUGAAGAGAGCAGGUCGGCUGACUCCUUAAUGACAUCUUCCCCCUGAGGAUCAGUGUCCUCUUCGGGAUAAGCCGUUGAGGGAAGAACACGAAGACUUUGCAUCCAUCUUUGUCAUUCUCAUUCAUAGUCAUAGACUUCACACUUGGCUUGUCUGCUUUCCCAGAAGAGGGAUUCCUCUUGCUUGAAAAAUCUUAAAAUUCC